ensembl:lncRNA
CACGUGUAGACAAAGGGGGACUCCACAACACAAAGCUAGAUGUGCCCUCUCAAACUUUUUUUUUUUCCUACAACCGACAGCAGCGCGCGCACAGGAAGCCGACUGCCCAGGUGGGAAUUUAAGCAAUUUAACCAGUACAGUGCUUGCUUCUGAUGGAUUAAGAAAAUAAAAAAGAUGUGUAGAAAAAAAAACACACGGAAGAUGUACAGAUUCACCUAUCAAGCCAUUUUUAAGAUGAAAUGAAGGAUUAAGAGACUGUUCACUUUUCUUCUGGAUGAACAUGAAGACUUAUCUCAUGAGGAUUUAGACUUCAGCAGCAGCAGCGCCAGUCGGAUUGUGUUUUAGGCACACUUGGAAAUCUAAACCUCAUGGAGAUACUUUGAGGAUUAUAAAAGAUGUGCAUGUAGAAUGCCACCAUACAAGACGCGUCCUGGGCCAAAGUCCUUGGGAUAGCAGGAUAUUGCUUUCCUGAUCCUUCUCAGCCCCCAGAAUGGGGAGUGUGGGAGUGGUGAGGUCUGGGAGAUCACGACCUUAAUUCUCUCCAAGACAGACGGUUUAAUUAACACUGGAAGAAUCCUCACUGACUCCAGACCUCUACAGUGAGAAUGUACAGGGGAAUUGGCUUGCCAAGGUCCUCUUGGCCAUAGACUGAAAUGCUGACAGACGAUGCCCAUGAAUGAUGAAUGAUGACUGGAGGUCUGUCUGGUGCCAGCAGAAUGCAUAAUACAGCAUCGAUACAGCAAUCGCAGUCCUCCUCAGCAGAAACAUGGUGCAGUUUCUGUAUCACAUUAUUGGAAGAUUUGCCCCAAGCAGGACAGCAGGACCACUCAAAGUGGAAAUCAACCGCAAUGUUGAAUGUUGUUUCGGUUGGAGUCCUAAAUGAAGCAGCAUUACAAAGAGUUUUCUGGUGUGUCAGAGUGAGGCUCAGUGGGAAAGAUUGCUGUGUCUAGACAGGAGUGUGAGGCCAGGAUGUGCACAAGUCUGCCAGCCGUUAACCCCACAGAGGAAGUGUGCAGGAAAUGAGAUCAGCCUUAAACAGAGGUCACAUGUGCCACACAGUUGUCACUCAAGCUCUGCUCUCCAAAACCUACUGGCUCCACCGGGUUGUGUGCGCUCUGCUGCAGAUGUGUCUCUCUAAGCCUUGCGCUAAGCCCUCUGUGCUA